rnacentral:ncRNA from 1 species
UGGAACAAUGUAGGUAAGGGAAGUCGACAAAAUGGAUCCGUAACCUCGGGAAAAUGACUGCCUCUGAGGGCUGGGCACGGGGGUCCCAGUCUCGAACCCGUCGGCUAUCGGUGCACUGCACGAGCUACUUUUGCAGCAAGAGCGGGUCACCGCGUGCCGGUCGGGGGACGGACUGGGAACGACUCCCUUGGGGGCCUUCCCCAGGUGACGAACAGUCGACUCAGAACUGGUACGGACAAGGGGAAUCCGAUUGUUUAAUUAAAACAAAGCAUUGCGAUGGUCUUUGCGGAUGCUCACGCAAUGUGAUUUCUGUCCAGUGCUCUGAAUGUAUAAGUGAAGAAAUUCAACCAAGCAAGGGUAAACGGCAGGAGUAACUAUGACUCUCUUAAGGUAGCCAAAUUAAUGACGAGCAUGAAUGGAUUCACGAGAUUCCUACUGUCCCUGUCUACUAUACAGCAAAACCAUAGGCAAGGGAACGGGCUUGG